CGCGUAGGCGGACUUUUAAGUCGGGGGUGAAAGCCCAGGGCUCAACCCUGGAAUUGCCUUCGAUACUGGGAGUCUUGAGUUCGGAAGAGGUUGGUGGAACUGCGAGUGUAGAGGUGAAAUUCGUAGAUAUUCGCAAGAACACCAGUGGCGAAGGCGGCCAACUGGUCCGAAACUGACGCUGAGGCGCGAAAGCGUGGGGAGGCAAAACA
rnacentral:rRNA from 1 species